GCGACCAUCGUAUAAUGGUAUUACCCAAGCUUCCCAAGCUUGUGACGGGGGUUCGAUUCCCCCUGGUCGCU
rnacentral:tRNA from 1 species